rnacentral:rRNA from 1 species
GACGUAGGGCGCGAGCGUUGUCCGGAUUUAUUGGGCGUAAAGAGCUCGUAGGCGGCUUGUCGCGUCGAAUGUGAAAACCCACGGCUCAACUGUGGGCUUGCAUUCGAUACGGGCAGGCGUAGAGUUCGGUAGGGGAGACGUGGAAUUCCUGGUGUAGCGGUGAAAUGACGCAGAUAUCAGGAGGAACACCGGUGGCGAAGGCGGGUCUCUGGGCCACUACUGACGCUGAGAAGCGAAAGCAUGGGGAGCGAACAGG